rnacentral:rRNA from 1 species
UUGAACGCUGGCGGCAGGCCUAACACCUGCAAGUCGAACGGUAACAGGAAGCAGCUUGCUGCUUUGCUGACGAGUGGCGGACGGGUGAGUAAUGUCUGGGAAACUGCCCGAUGGAGGGGGAUAACUACUGGAAACGGUAGCUAAUACCGCAUAACGUCGCAAGACCAAAGAGGGGGACCUUAGGGCCUCUUGCCAUCGGAUGUGCCCAGAUGGGAUUAGCUAGUAGGUGGGGUAACGGCUCACCUAGGCGACGAUCCCUAGCUGGUCUGAGAGGAUGAGCAGCCACACUGGAACUGAGACACGGUCCAGACUCCUACGGGAGGCAGCAGUGGGGAAUAUUGCACAAUGGGCGCAAGCCUGAUGCAGCCAUGCCGCGUGUAUGAAGAAGGCCUUCGGGUUGUAAAGUACUUUCAGCGGGGAGGAAGGGAGUAAAGUUAAUACCUUUGCUCAUUGACGUUACCCGCAGAAGAAGCACCGGCUAACUCCGUG